rnacentral:rRNA from 1 species
CUACGUGCCAGCAGCCGCGGUAAUACGGAAGGUCCGGGCGUUAUCCGGAUUUAUUGGGUUUAAAGGGAGCGUAGGCUGGAGAUUAAGUGUGUUGUGAAAUGUAGACGCUCAACGUCUGACUUGCAGCGCAUACUGGUUUCCUUGAGUACGCACAACGUUGGCGGAAUUCGUCGKGUAGCGGUGAAAUGCUUAGAUAUGACGAAGAACUCCGAUUGCGAAGGCAGCUGACGGGAGCGCAACUGACGCUUAAGCUCGAAGGUGCGGGUAUCAAACAGGAUUAGAUACCCUGGUAGUCCGCACAGUAAACGAUGGAUGCCCGCUGUUGGUACCUGGUAUCAGCGGSUAAGCGAAAGCAUUAAGCAUCCCACCUGGGGAGUACGCCGGCAACGGUGAAACUCAAAGGAAUUGACGGGGGCCCGCMCAAGCGGAGGAACAUGUGGUUUAAUUCGAUGAUACGCGAGGAMCCUUACCCGGGCU